UACAGAGACUGCAAGCGUUAUUCGGAUUCACUGGGCGUAAAGGGUGCGCAGGCGGUUGGGUGUGUCAGAUGUGAAAUCCCGAGGCUUAACCUCGGAACUGCGUCUGAAACUACUCGACUAGAGUACUGGAGAGGGAAACGGAAUUCACGGUGUAGCAGUGAAAUGCGUAGAUAUCGUGAGGAACACCAGAGGCGAAGGCGGUUUCCUGGACAGUUACUGACGCUCAGGCACGAAAGCAUGGGGAGCAAACAGG
rnacentral:rRNA from 1 species